rnacentral:rRNA from 1 species
CCUACGGGUGGCAGCAGUGGGGAAUAUUGCGCAAUGGGCGAAAGCCUGACGCAGCGACGCCGCGUGAGUGAGGAAGUAUUUCGGUAUGUAAAGCUCUAUCAGCAGGGAAGAAAAUGACGGUACCUGACUACGACGCCCCGGCUAACUACGUGCCAGCAGCCGCGGUACUACGUCGGGGGCAAGCGUUAUCCGGAUUUACUGGGGGUAAAGGGAGCGUAGACGGCUAAUCAAGUCAGAAGUGAAAACCCAGGGCUCAACCUUGGGAGUGCUUUUGAAACUGAGUAGCUAGAGUGCAGGAGAGGUAAGCGGAAUUCGUGGUGUAGCGGUGAAAUGCGUAGAUAUUAGGAGGAACACCAGUGGCGAAGGCGGCUUACUGGACUGUAACUGACGUUGAGGCUCGAAAGCGUGGGGAGCAAACAGGAUUAGAUACCCUAGUAGUC